AAAAUAGAUACCCCGGUAGUCCACGCCGUAAACGAUGAGUGCUAAGUGUUGGGGGGUUUCCGCCCCUCAGUGGCUGCAGCUAACGCAUUAAGCACUCCGCCUGGGGGAGUACGGUCGCAAGACUGAAACUCAAAGGAAUUGACGGGGGCCCGCACAAGCGGUGGAGCAUGUGGUUUAAUUCGAAGCAACGCGAAGAACCUUACCAGGUCUUGACAUCCCGGUGACCACUAUGGAGACAUAGUUUCCCCUUCGGGGGCAACGGUGACAGGUGGUGCAUGGUUGUCGUCAGCUCGUGUCGUGAGAUGUUGGGUUAAGUCCCGCAACGAGCGCAACCCUUAUUCUUAGUUGCCAUCAUUCAGUUGGGCACUCUAAGGAGACUGCCGGUGAUAAACCGGAGGAAGGUGGGGAUGACGUCAAAUCAUCAUGCCCCUUAUGACCUGGGCUACACACGUGCUACAAUGGACGGUACAAACGGUUGCCAACCCGCGAGGGGAGCUAAUCCGAUAAAACCGUUCUCAGUUCGGAUUGUAGGCUGCAACUCGCCUACA
rnacentral:rRNA from 1 species